GUCAAAGUCUGCUGAGGCUCAGGCUCCAUGAAUGCAGAUAGAUGCCGUCCACUGCUAUAACUUUGCCUGAUGGUUCCGAGUUCACCACUGGUAGAUGGAAUACAGUGAGCACGGUCCAAGAGCUACUGGGGAAUCCCAAGACUCAAAGAGAUUCUGACAUAUCACCCGAUUCCCAGAUCAGUAAAACCAGCUGGAACCCACAAGAGAAAUCCAUACCAAUAGGGCAUGAUGGAUAUGUGGAUAUGACAUGGUUUGGGAUAGAGAUACAGGUCUUCAGGAAUGUCAAUCACUUAUGGAUCCUGAGACCCUGUCAUGCUAGGGUACCAGAAUGGCAUACAGAUGCCAAAGUGGUAUGUCAGUCCAAGGUUGUGUGUGGGUCAGCAAGACACAAUGAUCUUUCCUGUCCUUAGCAGAGGAUGAGGCCAGAAAAUAGGAGUGUUUCUAGGAAGCUUAAACUGAGGAGGGAAGACCCUCUCUGAAUGUGAUAGCACCGGCCAAGGAUCUGACAGGGACCAUGAACAGGGUGAUAGCUUUCAUCUUUCUUUCUGUUUCCUGACUGUGAACAUGAUGUACCCAGAGACCACACUCUCUUGCUACAAGGCCCACCAUGCUGGACCCUAUCCUUACAAACUGUGAGCCCAAACAAACCCUUCCUUCUUCAAGUAGCUUCUAGCCAACUAACACAGCCUUAAGCAGUCACUGCAGACCAGGCUGUUGGACCCAACCACCAUUCCUGCAUCCACAACAGCAGACUCUGCAUGGAUCUGGUUUUGUUAAGCUUUGAUGGACAUGUGCCCAACUCUGGAGAAGACCAAGAAACUCCCAUGUCUCCAUCCUAAGUCACAGCUUGAUAUUUCAUGGACAGAAGUAAGACAUUUAGAAAGUCAAAAUAAAAAUAUGGAUGUUUUGAUCUCACCAUUUUGGAAUCCACAACUUCAAAAAGUCCCAGUUCCCAGAGUAGUCUAAGUACUCAACUCAAUGCAACCAGUAUUUAGGUCCUGGAUUGGAUUUGUGUUGUUGCAGCAAAACAUCUAAGGUCCACCUGAUGGCUGCCAUGAACCAAGAGCCAAUUCUGACCAUUGCUCCAUUCCAAAGGUAAUCCUGAGAACUCCCUGAACUAUCCAGAGCCUCUGCCAUAAGCAUGCCUACGCUACAGAACCACAGGAAUAUAUAGCAACAAGAUGGAAGUCUGACAUGGAGCUGACUGUGACCCAGAGCACCAGAGACAAAGGAUGCAGUCUUUGGGUAUUUGUCACAUUAAUGCAACAGAACGAGCACCCAUUUUUGGAGCGGAAGCAGGUGAAAGAUUUUGCUGUCAACUUGGCACAACAUUGCAGAGAAAGAUGCCUGUUGAAUGAACCACCCACGUACCAUCAGAAGCAACAGAUAUU
rnacentral:lncRNA from 1 species